AUGAAAGAAUUCAUGGCUGAAAUCGCCAUUCUUGGUCACCUGCGCCACCGUAACCUUGUCCAGCUGAUUGGCUACUGCCGCCAUAGGCAGGAGCUUCUUUUGGUCUAUGACUAUAUGCCCAAUGGAUGCCUUGAUACGUAUUUGCAUAAAAAGGAUAAGCCAACUCUGGGCUGGGAUCAAAGGCUUCACAUCAUUAAAGGGGUUACAGCCGGCCUUGUGUACUUGGAUGAGGACUGGGAGCAAGUUGUUAUCCAUCGAGAUAUUAAGGUUAGCAACGUGCUCCUUGAUGAUGGAAUGAAUGGAAGACUAGGUGAUUUCGGCCUUGCAAGGUUGCACGAACAUGAAACCGACGCCCAUACCACGCGUGUGGCCGGCACCUGGGGUUACAUUGCUCCUGAGCUGGCUAGGCUCGGGAAGGCAACCAAGGCAACAGAUGUGUAUGCAUCUGGCAUAUUCCUGAUGGAAGUUGCAUGUGGAAGACGACCAAUUGAGGCGAAUGCCCAUGGUGAACCUCUGGUGCUAGCAGACUGGGUGCUCAACACAUGGCAAACUGGUUCACUCAUUAAUGCCCAUGGUGAAUAUAUUGUUGGAGGCCCUGUAAGCGCUCGGAUGCACGUGCCAAAGGCCUGUAGAAAGCUCAAGAGAACACCUCGAGGAAAGUUGAGGAAGAGCUUUCAAGGUUUUCUAAAGAUGGGGAUCCUCCAUUGGAUUCAGAAGAAGGUGAGCCCGCCCAAGGUCUGA
rnacentral:rRNA from 1 species